GAUGAACGCUGGCGGCGUGCCUAAUACAUGCAAGUCGAGCGAACGGACGAGAAGCUUGCUUCUCUGAUGUUAGCGGCGGACGGGUGAGUAACACGUGGAUAACCUACCUAUAAGACUGGGAUAACUUCGGGAAACCGUAGCUAAUACCGGAUAAUAUUUUGAACCGCAUGGUUCAAAAGUGAAAGACGGUCUUGCUGUCACUUCUAGAUGGAUCCGCGCUGCAUUAGCUAGUUGGUAAGGUAACGGCUUACCAAGGCAACGAUGCAUAGCCGACCUGAGAGGGUGAUCGGCCACACUGGAACUGAGACACGGUCCAGACUCCUACGGGAGGCAGCAGUAGGGAAUCUUCCGCAAUGGGCGAAAGCCUGACGGAGCAACGCCGCGUGAGUGAUGAAGGUCUGCGGAUCGUAAAACUCUGUUAUUAGGGAAGAACAUAUGUGUAAGUAACUGUGCACAUCUUGACGGUACCUAAUCAGAAAGCCACGGCUAACUACGUG
rnacentral:rRNA from 1 species